UACGUAGGUGGCGAGCGUUGUCCGGAUUUACUGGGCGUAAAGAGCGCGCAGGCGGUCGUUCAAGUCGCGUGUGAAAGCCCCCGGCUCAACUGGGGAGGGUCACGCGAUACUGAUCGACUCGAAGGCAGGAGAGGGUAGUGGAAUUCCCGGUGUAGUGGUGAAAUGCGUAGAGAUCCGGAGGAACACCAGUGGCGAAGGCGACACGCUGGGCCGUACCUGACGUUAAAGCGCGACAGCAUGGGGAGCAAACGGG
rnacentral:rRNA from 1 species